UGAGAACAUUGAGCAGCAGAAUCAGGAGAAAUGGGACACCCGGGGUUAGAAUGUGGUGGAGGAACUCGAUUGUGACCCAGACACUGGAGACUCGAACAGCGUCUGUUACAUCACAAAACCAGGGGGCGUUCCACAGCCAAUACCGAGCCGUGAGCAUAAAAUACCAGGAAAUGUUCUUUAAACAGCUCAGCACAGUCACUGCUCCCAGAACCACAGCCGCCGUUUUCUCACUGCAAUAUUUACUUUUCAGCUUCUGGCAACAAAUGGCCACAAACCGAUCAAAGGUGAAAGUGACGGUGAACCAGACCGAGCAGUCAGUGGCUGCAUAAAGCAGGACGGCGUGGAUAUUACACACGGGGACGGAGUCCCUCAGGAAAUAAAACUGUUCCUUAUAAACAAUGGGAAUGUGUCUCAGGAUCAGGUCGAGGAUAAUGACCAGGAGAUCCGCCGCUGCCAUGGCCCCCAGGUAUCUGUAUUAGCUGUUUGGAUACAGAAUUGGCUGGCCAACAGAAGACAGCGAGUGGUAGUGGAAGGAAAUUAUUUUGCCUGGAAGUCAGUGGGCCAUAUAAACAUAUCUUCAAAUCGACCGAGACCAUUUUCUGCUCAGUGUAUGGCUCUGUGUACGACAGCAGCAAUGAUGCACCGACAUGGAACAGGGAAUGUGAUGGAGACAUAGUUUGGACAAUGUACAAGGAGACCUCACAUGGUCCAGUUUGGGAGAGAAUGACAUUAUUGUGUGAUUCAACUCAGAGAGGGAGAAAAUGUCAUCUGCCCGAGAAGAAACGGCCUAUUGCGCUCUCUCUCCUUCAUUAUUCCUCAUCACAGUAACGUGUACGAGCUAAAACAAAACUCUACUGUCAUCGUUACCAUUCUUAUUUUUAUAGAAUCCCUGCAGUGUGGAAACAAGCCCUUCGGCCCAACAAGUCCAUACCAACCUUCCAAAGAGUAACCUUCCCAUGCCCUUACAGUUACCACUGACGAGUGCACUUAAAGUAGAAAUUGCUGAACACUAUGGACUAUUUUACCAAUCCACUUGAAUUAUACAGCUUUGGGCUGUGGGAGGAAACGGGAGCACCCAUCAGAAGCUCACACAGACAAGGGGAGAAGAUGCAAACUCCACGCAGAUAGUCGCCCGAGGCUGGAAUUGAACUCAUGCCCCUGAUGCCGUGAGGCAACAGUACGAACUACUGAGCCACUGUGCUAACCUGGAACCUCCUGCCAGCCUAAUGCAAAGGGAAUUCAGCCAAACCCAACUCUCCCAGGAUACAAUCCCAUUGCUAGCAGCUGUGUGAGUAGUCUAUCUUCAGAAGCAGAAUAAUGUUUUGGACAAUCUCUCAAUUUUUCCUUUUGUCAUGAGCUACACUAAUAUUUGGACAAGGUUCUUUCAACAUGAAA